AAUGAAGAGGAGCUUGCUCCUCGGAUUUAGCGGCGGAUGGGUGAGUAACACGUGGGCAACCUGCCCUGCAGACUGGGAUAACUUCGGGAAACCGGAGCUAAUACCGGAUAAUCUAUUUCACCACAUGGUGAAAUACUGAAAGGCGCUUUCGCGUCACUGCAGGAUGGGCCCGCGGUGCAUUAGCUAGUUGGUGGGGUAAUGGCCUACCAAGGCGACGAUGCAUAGCCGACCUGAGAGGGUGAUCGGCCACAUUGGGACUGAGACACGGCCCAAACUCCUACGGGAGGCAGCAGUAGGGAAUCUUCCACAAUGGACGAAAGUCUGAUGGAGCAACGCCGCGUGAGUGAUGAAGGUUUUCGGAUCGUAAAACUCUGUUGUAAGGGAAGAACAAGUACGUUAGGAAAUGAACGUACCUUGACGGUACCUUAUUAGAAAGCCACGGCUAACUACGUGCCAGCAGCCGCGGUAAUACGUAGGUGGCAAGCGUUGUCCGGAAUUAUUGGGCGUAAAGCGCGCGCAGGUGGUUUCUUAAGUCUGAUGUGAAAUCUUGUGGCUCAACCACAAGCGGUCAUUGGAAACUGGGAGACUUGAGUGCAGAAGAGGAAAGUGGAAUUCCAAGUGUAGCGGUGAAAUGCGUAGAGAUUUGGAGGAACACCAGUGGCGAAGGCGACUUUCUGGUCUGUAACUGACGCUGAGGCGCGAAAGCAUGGGGAGCAAACAGGAUUAGAUACCCUGGUAGUCCAUGCCGUAAACGAUGAGUGCUAAGUGUUAGGGGGUUUCCGCCCCUUAGUGCUGUAGCU
rnacentral:rRNA from 1 species